rnacentral:rRNA from 1 species
GGAUCUAAAAAAGUUUGUUUUGCUUAUUAAUAAAGACAGCUAAAUGGCCGCGGUAACACUAACUGUGAAAAUGUAGCGUAAUCAAUUGUUAAUUAAUUGUUGACCGGUAUGAAUGGUGUCACGAAAGUUUCUCUGUCUUAAAAAAAUACUUAAUGAAAUUGAAUUUGUAGUGAAGAUGCUACAUUAAAAUUGUAAGACGAGAAGUCCCCAUGGAGCUUUACUGAGGGCUUAGAUUUUAUAUAAGCGGGACAGUUUUGUUGGGGCGACAGUUUUUUAAAAAGUAACAAAAACGAACUAUGGCGAAGCUUCACCCUGAAAAAUUUUUUAAGGGACAUUUUUGGUGUGUUUUAUGAUCCGUUGUUUGGAAUGAAAAAAACAACGAAAACAAAUAAAAGUUACCCUGGGGAU